rnacentral:rRNA from 1 species
UACGGAGGGUGCGAGCGUUGUUCGGAAUCACUGGGCGUAAAGCGCGUGUAGGCGGCCUUGUAAGUUUGGUGUGAAAGCCCGGGGCUUACCCCCGGAAGUGCACUGGAUACUGCGAGGCUAGAGUACCGGAGAGGAAAGUGGAAUUCCUGGUGUAGCGGUGAAAUGCGUAGAUAUCAGGAGGAAUACCGGUGGCGAAAGCGACUCUCUGGACGGCAACUGACGCUGAGGCACGAAAGCGUGGGGAGCAAACAGG